CCCGCACAGCGGUGGAGCAUGUGGUUUAAUUCGACGCAACGCGAAGAACCUUACCGAGGCUUGACACUCCCUGACCGUCUAUGAAAGUAGGCUUUCUACCUUCGGGUAGACAGGGAGACAGGUGGUGCAUGGUUGUCGUCAGCUCGUGUCGUGAGAUGUUGGGUUAAGUCCCGCAACGAGCGCAACCCUUACGGUUAGUUGCCAGCGGGUUAUGCCGGGCACUCUAGCUGAACUGCCGUUGACAAAACGGAGGAAGGUGGGGAUGACGUCAAAUCAUCAUGCCCUUUAUGUCCUGGGCUACACACGUGCUACAAUGGCCUGUACAGAGGGAAGCGAAAGGGUGACCUGGAGCGAAUCCCAAAAAGCAGGUCUCAGUUCGGAUUGCAGGCUGCAACCCGCCUGCAUGAAGUCGGAAUCGCUAGUAAUCGCAGGUCAGCAUACUGUGGUGAAUACGUUCCCGGGCCUU
rnacentral:rRNA from 1 species